UUAUUUGACAUGGUCUCUGUGUUUGUGUGUCAGGCGUGUAGAUAUGGACAUUACUUGACAUGGUCUCUGUGUUUGUGUGUCAGGCGUGUAGAUAUGGACAUGUCCACCACCUGGAGCAGCUGUUGUUCUAUGGAGCCGAUAUGGGUGUCAUGAACGCCUCUGGAAACACGGCUCUACACAUCUGUGCUCUAUACAAAGAGGAACACUGUGCCAGAGUACUGCUUGUUCGUGGUGCCAACAAGGAAGUGAAGAACUACAGAAGCCAAACACCAUUCCAGGUGGCCAUCAUCGCAGGAAACUUUGAAUUGGCAGAAUUAAUCAAGAACCAUAAAGAGACUGAUAUCGUGCCUUUCAAGGAGGCGCCGGCCCAACCCACCCGGCGCCAGCAGGCCCCACGGAGUACACUAGCUGCUCCACGGUCUAUGCUCCUACGCUCCAACAGCGACAACAACCUGAACGUGAACAACCGGUCACCCCUGCCCUCGCCGUGCCACUCUCCCCUUCAUAGCCUCUCCCCCCGUCGGCCCCAGCAGCAGCAGAUGCCCAGCCCCAAUGGAACAGUCAGGACCAUGGGGAAGGGGGCUCCCCGCCCUCCCCGUUCACGUUCGCCGUCCCUGGGGCGCCUGGGGGAGGAGACACCCAGACAGAUCCCCCAGCACCAGCCCAGCCCACACAAGGGUCGGGAAGAGUUCACUGGUGGCACAGACCGCCAGGGGCCCCAGUGUAAGCUGUACAGUGCUGUGGCAGGGAAGCACUUUGUGGUGACUAAGUCCUACCAACCACAGGCCGAAGGGGAGAUCACCCUGUACCAGAACGACAGGGUCAAAGUGCUCUCCAUAGGUGAAGGUGGUUUCUGGGAGGGCAGUGCCAGGGGUAACGUGGGAUGGUUCCCAGCAGAGUGUGUGGAGGAGACCCCUAACCAAGAGGAAAGACCAUAUGCCCGAGCAGACAGGGCUGAGAGGAGGAAGCUUUUCAGGCACUACACCGUGGGGUCCUACGACAGCUUUGAUGCAUCAAGCAACUGUAUUAUUGACGAGAAGACGGUAGUCCUACAGAAGAAGGAUAAUGAGGGAUUCGGGUUUGUGCUGCGAGGGGCGAAAGCGGACACGCCCAUCGAGGAGUUCACCCCUACACCCGCCUUCCCCGCCCUGCAGUACCUGGAGUCUGUGGACGAGGGCGGGGUUGCAUGGCGGGCGGGGCUUCGCAACGGAGACUUCCUCAUCGAGGUGAACCAGGAAAAUGUUGUGAAGGUGGGCCACAAACAGGUGGUCAAUACGAUCCGACACGGGGGCAACCGGCUCAUCAUCAAAGUGGUGACAGUUAGCAGGAAUCUGGACCCUGAUGACACGGCCAGGAAGAAAGUGGCCACACCUCCACGUAGGACUCCUCCCGCUGCCCUGUCCAUGGCCAUGCGCUCCAAAUCCAUGACCUCAGAGCUGGAGGAGCUAGAUAAAGUGGAAGAGAACAUGCCUCCUCAGAAGCCCACGUGGGACAACUCUAACACUGACAUAAGGGUCGCAAACACUGUCAAAACGCGGCCCAACAGCAGGUGCUUGGCCAUGAACCCAGAGAUGAAUUCCCUGUGUGAGAGCCAGGCCGUGUCGAUGCAGGCCCAGACCCAGCCCAGAGAGCCAGGCAGCCCCAGAGGUCGAGGCCCCUUCCUGGGGGUGCCAAACAGACAGGGGACCAUGAGACGACAAAAGUCCAUAGGAACAUCUGGAAUAACAGAAGAGGACGCCCCUCAGUUCCUGACCCCUCCCAUGUUGAAAUUCACCAGGAGCCUAUCAAUGCCGGACACAACAGAGGACAUCCCACCCCCUCCCGCUAUCUCCCCUCCAUCUCCCCCUUACAACAACGACCCCAACCCCCAGGGCAGAGGCUACGGCACUAUCAGACACACUGUUCCCAAAGGCACCGCCCCUGAGCGAGGAGGAGACCCCAACACGGGCGGCAGUGACGGAUGGAGGGAACAGGGGGGUAUGUACCACCCAGAGCCCCAGUCGGAACAGUAUCAGUCUGAGGACCACCACCAGGGUAGCCAGAGUCCAGGCCAAGGCCUCACAGCCCAGCAGAGCUUCCUGAACCGCAGGGCCCAGAUCCCAGAGAACCCAUACUCAGACCUGGGGAAGAUGGGCAACCUGGGCCUGUUUGCCCCCAACAAACCUCAGAGGAGGAAGGGCAUGCUGAUGAAGCAGAACAAGAUUGAGGACAGCCCAGAGAAGACCUGCACCAUUAAAAUCCCAACCAUCAUCAUCAAGGAGCCGUCUACAUCCAGCAGUGGAAAGAGCAGCCAGGGCAGCAGCAUGGAGAUAGAGACUGGAUCCCAUGACCACCCGGGACAACUCCGUCCGGACGAUGGACACAACCCCAGCAGUCCCUUUGCCACGGCCAUGGCGGGCGCAGUGCGGGAACGUGAGAUGAGGAUGGUGGAUUCUCACCAGAACUCUCCAUCCUACAGGUUCACCGACCAGGGUGAAGAAGACUCGUCUCCCGCGCCUGCGCCUCGCCUCCGCCACUCCAAGUCCAUCGAUGAGGGAAUGUUCAGUAGUGACGAGCGCCUGCGUCGCCUCAUGGCCCCACCUGCCUCACUACUCAGCAUCCCCAGAAGAGGGGGUAACGUGACGGUCUUCAACACCCCGGAGACCACUGUUGUGAGAGAGCCGCUCCACACGCGCACUGGCCACCACAGCCCGGUCAGUCUGCCCGCCAAGACCUAUACCUCCAGUAGUGGGCGCUACGUCCACCCAGUCACAGGGAAGCCUUUGGACCCCAACUCCCCUCUGGCCCUGGCUCUGGCUGCACGGGACCGGGCCAUGAGAGAGCAGUCCCAGCCACUCCCGCUGAAGACCGAACCACCUAAACCUGACCUGAACAAGCCUCUGUUCAUCGACACCAAGCUGAGGACCGGCAUGGGCGCAAAUUUCUCCUCGACCGCCACCAUGGGUCGACCGGGCAGGGCGGGGCUUCGUAGGCAGAUGACAGAGGCAAAGUACGAGACAGAGUCCAAAUACGACCACCCGUUGGCCAAAGACAAGGACAAUAGUCUAUCCCGUCCUCAGAGAGAAGAGGAGAAGAAGAACAUGUUGAUAGACAUUGGUGACACGUCUCAGCAGAAGUCACCUGGGUUGCUGAUGGUCCACACCACUGACGAGAACAACCUGUCUGAGGGGGAGAGGGAGGCGGCGGUCAGUCCAGACAGCACCCCCAGUGAGCUCCGGGACCCCAACCAACCUAACAUCCUCAAAAUGGCCUCCCCUAACCCCCAUAACCCUCACUCUAUGGGCCCUGGACCCAGAGGUAGUAAGACCAUGAUCACCGUCACCUCAGUGGACGAGCCGGUCAAACUACCCUUCGGUAUCCCCCCUCCACCCUGCGUUCCCUCCGUGGACAUCGACGAUGAGUUCUUUGCUGACCCACUGCCACCGCCUCUCGAGUUCGCCAACAGCUUCGACAUCCCAGAGGACCAAAAGGGGGCGAUCGCUGAGCUCCUGAAACAGCAACGAAACGCUGGCAGGGCACCAUCGUCUCUAGCCCCCUUCUAUCCCUAUCACGGUAACACCCCAGGCCAACCUGACCAGACUAUGAUCAAACGACCUGCGGUGCUCACCAACUGUACGCCCCCUUGCUUCCCCCACGCCUUCUUGGAGAGCUACGAUCGUAUCAGUGACUCUGGCAUUGAUGUGGAGCAGGACAACCGCAGUAUUGGAGACCCCCAGCUGGAGACUACAAGCACUAUGUCCACCGUAUCCAGUAUCUCCACGCUGUCGUCCGAGGGUGGCGAGGUGCUGGACAACACAUGUACAGUCUAUGCAGACAGACAGGCCUUUCUGGUGGACCGGACUUCAAAGUCAAGAACCAGGCAACUUGCCGCAAACAAGAGCAACGCACUUUACAAGGACCCUGCCUUGAUGGAUAGAGAGGAGAACAUAAGAACUUUUGCCGCACCUUCCUCCGUCCCACCGCCUCCCCCCGGGGCCAGCGUCUCCACAGAGCCCCCCAGAACACCAACUCAAAGAACCUCCAAGUUAUGGGGAGACCCUCCAGGCUCUAACCCCCAGGACAUGCAGAACAAGGACAGGACACCAAAGCCAGGAGAGGGGAUAGACUCUUCUUCCUCAGGAUGUAGGACUGUUUUUGGAUCAAGGGGUCCGGACAGUGGGUCCCUCUCCUCAGGUACACAGCGGAAUACCGCAGUCUCUUUUGCUGCCCAGCUGCCUCCGAACAUGUCUGCCCCAUCUCCAAACCGACAGACCGAGAGCCCCUCCCACCACAGAGCCCCCAGCCCCAUCCUCUCUCCCCCGGACUCAGGCCUCGGUUGUGCCUCCUCUCUCCCUGCCACCUCUCCCACCCUUUCAGACGUGUUCGGUCUGCCCACCCCCCCUCUCAGCCUGGGAACGGGGAGCAGCCGCUCGCCCUCCCCCCUCACCCUCAUCCAGGCCGUCUCCAACAAGCCUUUUGCCACCAAGCCGGUUCUGAUGUGGAGCAAACACGACGUGGCCGACUGGCUGGAGAGCCUAAACCUGGCUGAGCACAGAGACACCUUUAUGGACAACGACAUCGAGGGCAGCCACCUGCCUAGCCUGCAGAAGGACGACCUCAUAGACCUAGGGGUGACCAGGGUCGGACAUCGGAUGAACAUAGAGAGAGCUUUGAAACUUCUGAUGGACAGGAAUAUCCUCAUGUAUCCUGAAGAAAUUGCAACUUGAAACAGCACUGCAGUUUCCUGAAUAAGCAAGAAGGUCCCCCAGAGUGGGAUAGAGUGGUCCCAGGUGAGGCAGAGCUGCUCUGUCAGUAGGAAGGAAGGAAGUAGAUACACGGGAUGUGGCUGUGAUAUGGAAUAUACUACACUAUCAAACACAACAGCAGCUUAAUCGCUAUGGGAUUUACGGACUUCUGAAAUCAACCUAAUUUAAAUGCAUAACCAGAACCAGCUUCGUAGGGGUUUCAUUUUCUACUGUUUCUCAUUUAGAAAUUAUGCGGUGAAUAUCUUUUUAGGAAAAAGGGGAAAGCAUUUACAGUAUGUAUGUGCACUUCUGCCUGUGAAAUUAAGCUUUCUCUCUCUCCCUUUUCACUGGGUUGUAGGUUGAUUUGAGAGACCAUACAGUGUAUUCUCAGACACAGACAUUUAUACCCAGAAAGGAAAUCAAAGAUUAAAAUAAUUUCUAAAUUGGUACAGUAGCAAAGUUGUUGCCCUUCAACCUUAUUUCAAUAGCUGUUUUACUACUGGUCAUGUUUACUUGAGGGUUUUAAACACAGUAUUGAAAAUGUAAAUUAAAUUGUUCAUAAAUCAUUAUACUGUCUUCCACAAGAAGCUGAACUGUGUGCCAACAGCUCCCCUUACUGUAGUCUUCUGAACAUGACAUGGCAGAGUGUUGGCACUGGCAGUCAGGGCUUUCUAAUCGUUAUCAUCAACCAUCAUGCUUUCUUUCACAGUCUUCUAUGUCCUCUGAGAGGAAUAAUACAUACAUUAUCACAUUAGGUUAUUACUGUAUACCCUGAACUGAUGCUUAAGACUUUAGGAUUAAAGACACUAUCAGGAAUGAAUGACCCAGAGUUACAGGGUUGGGGUCAAUUCCAUUUCAAUUAAAGGUAGGGUCAGCGAUAUGACGUAGAUGCACAAAGUAAACAACAUAGUGGGUCAAUUUUAUGCGACAACUUAGAGAGUUUGAUUGCGACACUCAGCUUCUCUGCUGUUUUGGUCCUGUGGCUACUACAUUGUAAGUGAAUGAAUCGAACCAGAGCACAUGCACAGAUACUGUGUGAGAGCGGAGUCUUGCAUCUUGCUCAUCGCAAAAUCUGUGGUGCUGCUCACUCAACGUCAUUUUGAGGACUCUGGAAGUAAACUACAUUUCUAAUUCUACAAUUUUUGCAACGAGAAGCGUUGUGUAAAAUUGGAAAUGGAAUUAAAGUUUACUUCCUGAAUUGAAAAGGAAUUUACCCCAACACUGCAGAGUAAGGAUGUUUUUGAAGACAGAUAUCAAAGAAGUGAAUGCACUUAUAUGGGAAAAAGUAGGUGAACAAACACUAGACCUGGUAUCAGAAGGAGCAGAGUUACACUUGUUUGGCAAGCAAAGAGAUGCAGAUACCACUAGGAAUCAAUUUGGUAGGAAUGUUUACUUUUUGUGUAUGAUAAUUUAAGUAUUAGAGACGUAUUUAAUCUAUGAUGGUGUUUUGAUAUGUUUUGUUGAUGAGAAAGACAUUUGUAUGCAUCCACAAAGCUCAAAACCCACUGGCCAAAAACUGGUUGAAUCAAUGUUGUUUCCACGUCAUUUCAACCCCAAAAUUAAAUGUGAUGACGUUGAAUCAACAUAGAAAAGUGAUUUGAAUUGAAAAAAAGUAAUCAACGUAAAGGAAUUUAGUAUUUUUUACCUAAAUGACAUUACAUUUUUGGUUGAUUUCACGUUGAAUUCAUGUUAGUUGACAACUCAACCAAAUGUAAAUCAAAACUUUACAUUUAGUUGAGUUGAGCAUAAUUUCCCUCCAUGUUUUCGAGACAGGAUCUCUUCAUACUAUCACGAGUAAGUCCAAAAAGGCAGAUAUUCACCCAUCAUAAUAUGGAUGAGUUUAAAAUGUAGUUUAUUACACUUUCCACUGAGUUUGUCUGAAACGGGCUGAAGUUGUAUUUUCCACUCAGUUUGCGUUGGGUUUAUAUUCCGGAUCUUAACAGUUUAAACUUCUUUAUAUUUGAAUUUCUCGAGUAAAAGAAUGUGGGUGCUAGCUAAAAUCCCAAUGACAGUAUUUAUGGAAGGUUAUUUGGGAUCUACAUGUGCGUGGGAUCUAUUGGUUUGAUAGGGGGAAAACUGACCUUGAUAUGUCUGAUGACUGAUAUGCAUGACAUCACAGCAUUACAGUUCUAGUCUGUAGAAAUAGUCCACAGAAACCGUAGAUAUAGAAUGAAUUAUAUUUCUAUGGUAAUGACGCCGACCAUCUUUCGACUUGAGGGGACACUUUGAGAUGAGAUCUUAUGUUAAGAACCACAGGAACAGGAAGGAACACAGUAUUUUUGAUGAUGUAGAGAUUUUUAUCACGAGGGUAUAUUCCUAUCUGUGUUGUCGCCAUAUCAACCCUGAGGUGUGGUUAGGUUUUCCGAAAAGCAGCGAAAUAUGGUUAAGAAGCAAUAUAAUAUACAUUCUGUUUCAAGUAGAUGUUAUUUUUAUUUUCCAGUUGAAUAAUUAUACAUGUAACAGGAUUUCAAGUCUCUAUUUUUAAAAUUGCUAUAAAUAAUUGUGUUAUAAUCCAUAUUCCUAUAGAGCAUAUUUGAAAUCUUUUAGCAAUUGAUAGUCACAUGUUUUGACUAAGCCUCUGUAAUUAUUAAAUGAUUAAUUAUUAAAAGCUGAUAUAAAUUGAUAUUUGCAUAGUUUGUGCAUCAUGUAUGUAUACUAUGAAGAUACUCGGGCUGUACCUGUCUUCACUAUUUGCUAAAGGAAAUGUUACUUGACCAAGAGAAAAACACACCACUGAAUGGGACUGCUGAUGUAGAGUUGAUAGAUGCACAUUGCACUGAGGCCAUGCACAGACCUAUUAUAGUGAAGCUGACAAGACAUAUAUAGUGAAGCUGAAUAGACAUAUAUAGUGAAACUGACUAGACAUAUAUAGUGAAGCUGAAUAGACAUAUAUAGUGAAACUGACUAGACAUAUAUAGUGAAGCUGACUAGACAUAGUAGUGAAGCUGACUAGACAUAUAUAGUGAAACUGACUAGACAUAUAUAGUGAAGCUGACUAGACAUAGUAGUGAAGCUGACUGGACAUAGUAAUGAAGCUGACUAGACAUAGUAGUGAAGCUAACUGGACAUAUAUAGUGAAGCUGACUAGACAUAUAUAGUGAAACUGACUAGACAUAUAUAGUGAAGCUGACUGGACAUAUAUAGUGAAGCUGACUAGACAUAGUAGUGAAGCUAACUAGACCUAUUCU